GGAGGAAGAGGAAGGGCCGGGCCGGGAGAGCCGGGAUGUGCCCGCGGCGCUCGGCCGCCGUCACGGGGCAGCGCUGAGCCGGGCUGUGAUUCAGAGGGCCCGGUAGCCGUCGCGGAGGAGCGCUAACGGCUUCUGUCCUCGCGGCUUCGGCCCUCGGCGCUCCCCGGUUGUGCCUGCCUCAGCCCUCACGGCCGCAGUGUUCUCGGCCUCAGCGCUCGUGCCCUCCUGCCUGGCAGCGCCGGGGAAAUUGGGCCGUGUGUGCCUCAAAUGAAGCAGUUUUUAAGAGAAUGAAGGGACUCAGGAAUCUUAGGGAUCCUGUCAAGGGUAGGGGGAUGGAGCCACGCGUGUGCCAUGGAGGGGACACAGGACUGCGCGGUGGGGAAGUGACAGCCCUUCCGGGCUCCCGGUAAACAAGGCCUGGCUGCAGGGAAGUGUCUCAGGUUGGGGUGACUUUAGGAGUUUAAUAAAAGUAUUUGCUCCCAGUGACCAGGAAAUUCCAGUAUGAUGGAUACAGCACCUGUUCUCCCCAAGGAGCAAAGGGGUCAGGGUUAGACUAGAUCAUUUUAAUGGAAAUAAAUAUUUUUCCUUGGGAUGCGUCCUGUCAGGGCUCCUCAAAUCGGUGUCACUUUCAGCAAGGAGUUGCUAAAACACAUCAAGUGAAUUGUAUUUUAUCUAAAGUACCUGACUUGGUGUUAGAACUCCAGUGUAAAAAACACUGUCAUUGUGGAAUAGCAAAGGACAACCUCUCCUCAUGCCUGGAAUACCGACAGCUGAAUCACUAAAUGCCAAAUCCAGCUGUGGAUGGAACACCCAGGAAAAGGGGUGACUUUGUGUCCCUGUGUGCUCUGGGCUCUGCCAGCAGAAGGACUGGGAGAAUGAUACCAGUGUCAGGUCCAUCCCCAGCAUCUCUGAAUUCCAGCUUUGUACUUCAAAGUGCCUGGAACCCCCAAGUUUUAUAGCAGCAAAAUUACUACUGAGUGUAAGUGACCAGAGUUUUGCAUUUUUGGCUUCUCCUGGGCACAAAGCAUCUGACUGCAGCUGGGAAUUCAUCACCUCUCUCCCUGGACAUGCAAAUUUUACUGGAACUCCCUCAGCAAAGAAACCAGAAAAAGUGGAUUAAAAGGAAUGAGGUUAUGGAGCAUGAAAAAAUACUCCAAAACAACUGUGGAGGAGGGAAGAGGAGUUUCUGCUCUGACCCUGGAGAUGAAAGAAUAAAGGACCCUUGGUGGAUGGUGACACUCAACCCCUGAAGAGACACCACUGUCAGUGACAAACACAACAAGAGAGCCCUGAGAAAACACUGCUUCACCAUCAGCAAGGAAUCUGCUGGGACAAUCCCUCAGCAGCUGGUGGAGCCUGCAGCUGGACCUAGCAAAAGGCAGCUGAGGUAAGGAGCUGCCACAGCAAGGACCUGUGAGAAGAAGCUGCAGAUAAGAGACAAGACUGAGUCUACUUUGCAAAUCUCUUGUUGAAUUGUUCUGAGCCAAAGAAUUGUUUUAAAGAAUUGUGUAGAACUCAAAACCAGAUUUCUGGCCCAGCACCAACCCGUGCUGAGCAGCAGAGGAACUCAGCAGUCCAGAGGGGACGUGCAAAGUCAGCUCAGGGCUGGAGGGUGGUGAUGUCCCUGGGCUCCACUGUUCCCCAAAUCUUGGGCAUUGCUGGGAGCAGGACCAGGGCCAGCAGACAGCACCUGUGGAAGGGCUCCAGCACAGGGCAGGGAGGAACUGGAAGGAGAAGGCCAUUCCUGCAGGCUCUCCCUGGGAGCUGCCCUGGGCAGGUACCACAGCUGCACUGCCCUCACAGUGUGGCAGUGACCCCCCCACCCUCUGGAGCACAGCAGAGCUCCUGCAGCUGUGCUCCAGCACAUCUGGCUCUGUUCCCAGCUUUAGUGGAGCUAAAGUACCUC